UACAGAGGGGGGCAAGCGUUGUUCGGAAUUACUGGGCGUAAAGGGCGCGUAGGCGCCUUCUAAGUCGAACGUGAAAUCCCCGGGCUCAACCCGGGAACUGCGUCCGAUACUGGAAGGCUUGAAUCCGGGAGAGGGAUGUGGAAUUCCAGGUGUAGCGGUGAAAUGCGUAGAUAUCUGGAGGAACACCGGGUGGCGAAGGCGACAUCCUGGACCGGUAUUGACGCUGAGGCGCGAAAGCCAGGGGAGCAAACGGG
rnacentral:rRNA from 1 species